AGCGAACGCUGGCGGCAGGCCUAACACAUGCAAGUCGAACGAACCUUUCGGGGUUAGUGGCGGACGGGUGAGUACACGUGGGAACGUGCCUUUAGGUUCGGAAUAACUCAGGGAAACUUGUGCUAAUACCGAAUGUGCCCUUCGGGGGAAAGAUUAAUCGCCUUUAGAGCGGCCCGCGUCUGAUUAGCUAGUUGGUUGAGGUAAUGGCUCACCAAGGCGACGAUCAGUAGCUGGUCUGAGAGGAUGAUCAGCCACAUUGGGACUGAGACACGGCCCAAACUCCUACGGGAGGCGGCAGUGGGGAAUCUUGCGCAAUGGGCGAAAGCCUGACGCAGCCAUGCCGCGUGAAUGAUGAAGGUCUUAGGAUUGUAAAAUUCUUUCACCGGGGACGAUAAUGACGGUACCCGGAGAAGAAGCCCCGGCUAACUUCGUG
rnacentral:rRNA from 1 species